GACGAACCGAGCGAACGUUGUUCGGAAUCACCGGGCUUAAAGGGCGCGUAGGCGGGUGCUCAAGUCCGGGGUGAAAUCCUCCAGCUCAACUGGAGAACUGCCUCGGAUACUGGGCGUCUCGAGUGUGGUAGGGGUAUGCGGAACUAUCGGUGGAGCGGUGAAAUGCGUUGAUAUCGAUAGGAACUCCGGUGGCGAAGGCGGCAUACUGGACCACCACUGACGCUGAUGCGCGAAAGCCAGGGGAGCAAACGGG
rnacentral:rRNA from 1 species